rnacentral:ncRNA from 1 species
UAUAUUGCGAGUUUGAUCCUAGCUCAGAAUGAACGCUAGAAAUAUACAUUACACAUGCAAAUUUAUGAUAAUAUCAUAGUGAAUAGGUGAGGAUAUAUAAAUUUUUAAUUUUAAAUAGAUUAUAAUAUAUAAUAAUCUAUAAGCGCAUUUAUCUAUAUAAUUGUACUAUAUUAAAAAUUAUUAUUGUUUAAAAUAAAAUUUAUAUUUGAUUAACUAGUUGGUAAAAUAAAAGCUUACCAAGGUUAUGAUCAAAAAUUGGUUUUAAAGAAUGUACAAUCACAUUAGGAUUGAAAUAAAGCCUAAAUUUUUUUUUAAUCAGCAGUGAGGAAUAUUUUACAAUGAGCGUAAGCUUGAUAAAAGUAUAUUUCUUAAGGAUGACAGUAUAUUUUUAUAUUGAAA